GAAGACUCUUUCCCAGGAUAAACAUCUCGGAUAUGCUGAAUUCUUAUCUCAUCACAUGGCUUCCAGAUCUCUCUCCUUCCUUGUCUUCUGCCACUUCUGGGGGCCUACUGGUUCAACAUCUCUGAAAGGGUGGUCAAGGUAGGCCUUAUUGAAAAUGGACUUGGAAACAAAGGAAACAAAGAAGUUAGCCAUGAAGGUAUCUAGAAAGGAAUGCUCUAGGCGGAGAAAAGCACCAUGCAAGGACACUGAGUACCCACCCUAGGUGUAGGGAAUUCACCAUCCCUCCAGGUCUUGCCUCCCUGCAUGAGCCAACGUGCUUUUCCAGCUCUGCUUUUAUCAAGAGUAGAAAGGACAUCACAUGUGAAUGGCUGAAGAACUGGAAAUGUUUAACCUGCAGAAGAGAAGAUUUUGGUGGGGGGAGGCUGGUGAAGGAAGCCAUUGAUAGAGAACUCUCUAAAUAUUUGGAGA